GACAAAGGAGUUUGAAUCAUCCACAGUGCAUCUGUGGAACUUGAGAAAACUUUACCACAAGACAGCACAAAGCCAACCAGGGUCCCUGAUUAAAAGUGAUUUCUUCUUUAAUUGAAAUGAUCUCUAUGAACAGCUGCCAGAGGAGCUUCUGAAGAGGGAAGUGCUACGAAGAGAGUUGGAAUAAGAACUAGAGGACAGAAGACUUGGUAAUGGAGUUCCUGGAAAUUGGAGAUAAUAAACUUUUCCCAACAGAAGGAUUUUUCCAGUUUCACCAUUGAAAGCUCAGUAUCCUGAGACACACUCAGUUUUCAGCAAGUGAGAAGGCUGCUCACUACACUUCCAAGAUGUGUUGGAACAUCCACCGUCCUUUCUCUGGGUCUUUGUGCUUGUUAGUCAUUCUAUGUAAAUUGCUGUUUCCCCAUACCUCUGUGUGAUAUGUGUUCUCACCUUUUAACUCUGCUCAAAUGUCAUUCUUUCCUUACCAGUCCACCUUAGAAUAGCCUUGAUGCCUAGCAUUUGUAUCUCCAAAAUCUAUCCUUGUCCUUUUUUUGACACCUAUUAUUAUCUUCAAUCGUGCUCUGUUUUAAAGUUUACUUG
rnacentral:lncRNA from 10 species